rnacentral:rRNA from 1 species
UACGUAGGGGGCUAGCGUUGUCCGGAAUCAUUGGGCGUAAAGCGCGUGUAGGCGGUCCGGUAAGUCCGCUGUGAAAGUCGGGGGCUCAACCCUCGAAUGCCGGUGGAUACUGUCGGGCUAGAGUGCGGAAGAGGCGAGUGGAAUUCCUGGUGUAGCGGUGAAAUGCGCAGAUAUCAGGAGGAACACCAAUUGCGAAAGCAGGCCGCUGGGCCGAUUCUGACGCUGAGGUACGAAAGCGUGGGGAGCGAACGGG